AAAAUCUGGAGCUAUGAGCCUCGCGAAGAAUCAUCUGAAUCAAAUCUCCGACCCUUGGAACACAAAUACAACCAUCAAAUCUCAGGACACCAGCAAAAUCUAUGGUAUCCCUCAGAGACUCACCUCUCAACACCUACCCUCGAAUGCUAUAAAGACUUCUAUCCUAAAAUUGACGACCCUGAAUCUGCCCGAACAAGGUUGAUCAAGACUGAACACUAGAAAUGAUCCUCUGCGGGUUAGAAAUAUC
rnacentral:lncRNA from 1 species